rnacentral:misc_RNA from 1 species
GCACACACGCCCCCAAUUCAACCUUUCAAUCUUCUUACCGUACUAGUAAAAAAAUAUUUAAGUACGGAGGGAGUACUUUUUAGGAUCUACAAGUAGUAUAAAUACUUCAGCCUAGAAUCUUAUCCUAGGCUGGAGAUGCACCGAACACCAAGGCAAGCCUGAGGGUGCAGGGCAUGGAACAUUUUAGUUCUAUUUGCCUAGUAAAAACAUAAAAUUUAUUUUCUUAAUAAAUUAUAUAGA